rnacentral:rRNA from 1 species
AGUUCGAUUCUUCGGAUGAAGACUUUUGUGACUGAGCGGCGGACGGGUGAGUAACGCGUGGGUAACCUGCCUCAUACAGGGGGAUAACAGUUAGAAAUGGCUGCUAAUACCGCAUAAGACCACAGUACUGCAUGGUACAGUGGUAAAAACUCCGGUGGUAUGAGAUGGACCCGCGUCUGAUUAGGUAGUUGGUGAGGUAACGGCCCACCAAGCCGACGAUCAGUAGCCGACCUGAGGGGGUGACCGGCCACAUUGGGACUGAGACACGGCCCAGACUCCUACGGGAGGCAGCAGUGGGGAAUAUUGCACAAUGGGCGAAAGCCUGAUGCAGCGACGCCGCGUGAAGGAUGAAGUAUUUCGGUAUGUAAACUUCUAUCAGCAGGGAAGAAAAUGACGGUACCUGACUAAGAAGCCCCGGCUAACUACGUGCCAGCAGCCGCGGUAAUACGUAGGGGGCAAGCGUUAUCCGGAUUUACUGGGUGUAAAGGGAGCGUAGACGGCUGUGCAAGUCUGAAGUGAAAGGCAUGGGCUCAACCUGUGGACUGCUUUGGAAACUGUGCAGCUAGAGUGUCGGAGAGGUAAGUGGAAUUCCUAGUGUAGCGGUGAAAUGCGUAGAUAUUAGGAGGAACACCAGUGGCGAAGGCGGCUUACUGGACGAUGACUGACGUUGAGGCUCGAAAGCGUGGGGAGCAAACAG